AGGGAUGUAGCUCAAAUAGGAGAGUGCUCGCUUAGCAUGCGAGAGGUACGGGAAUUGAUAUCCUACAUCUCUA
rnacentral:tRNA from 1 species